AUUGAACGCUGGCGGCAUGCCUUACACAUGCAAGUCGAACGGCAGCGGGGACUUCGGUCCGCCGGCGAGUGGCGAACGGGUGAGUAAUGUAUCGGAACGUACCAUUCAGUGGGGGAUAACUAUCCGAAAGGAUAGCUAAUACCGCAUAUUCUGUGAGCAGGAAAGCAGGGGAUCGCAAGACCUUGCGCUGAUUGAGCGGCCGAUAUCAGAUUAGCUAGUUGGUGAGGUAACGGCUCAACAAGGCUACGAUCUGUAGCGGGUCUGAGAGGAUGAUCCGCCAGACGGGGACUGAGACACGGCCCAGACUCCUACGGGAGGCAGCAGUGGGGAAUUUUGGACAAUGGGCGCAAGCCUGAUCCAGCCAUGCCGCGUGAGUGAAGAAGGCCUUCGGGUUGUAAAGCUCUUUCGGCCGGGAAGAAAUCGCAUCAGCUAAUACCUGGUGUGGAUGACGGUACCGGAAUAAGAAGCACCGGCUAACUACGUGCCAGCAGCCGCAGUAACAC
rnacentral:rRNA from 1 species